rnacentral:rRNA from 1 species
ACGCGAAGAACCUUCCAGCCCUUGACAUCCCGGUCGCGGGAACGAGAGAUCGAUCCCUUCAGUUCGGCUGGACCGGAGACAGGUGCUGCAUGGCUGUCGUCAGCUCGUGUCGUGAGAUGUUGGGUUAAGUCCCGCAACGAGCGCAACCCUCGCCCUUAGUUGCCAUCAUUUAGUUGGGCUCUCUUAGGGGACUGCCGGUGAUAAGCCGCGAGGAAGGUGGGGAUGACGUCAAGUCCUCAUGGCCCUUACGAGCUGGGCUACACACGUGCUACAAUGGCGGUGACAGUGGGAUGCAAUGGGGCAACCCUGCGCAAAUCUCAAAAAGCCGUCUCAGUUCGGAUUGUGCUCUGCAACUCGAGCACAUGAAGUUGGAAUCGCUAGUAAUCGCAGAUCAUCACGCUGCGGUGAAUACGUUCCCGGGUCUUGUACACACCG